rnacentral:rRNA from 1 species
GUCCCUACAUGCAUAAUACAGGGGUUGGACGCGUAACCGGCUUUAAAUAGGGAAUGUACCUGCUUUCGUGUAAGUAGCUGAAUGAACCCAUGGAAUAUUGAUCGUGCUAACUCCCUGCCAGAAGACGGAGUAAUACAGAAGAUCCAAGCGUGAUCCGGAUUUAUUGGGUUUAAAGGGUGCGUAGGCGGCUUAUUAAGUCAGGGGUGAAAGACGGUGGCUCAACCAUCGCAGUGCCCUUGAUACUGAUGAGCUUGAAUACACUAGAGGUAGGCGGAAUGUGACAAGUAGCGGUGAAAUGCAUAGAUAUGUCACAGAACACCGAUUGCGAAGGCAGCUUACUAUGGUGUUAUUGACGCUGAGGCACGAAAGCGUGGGGAUCAAACAGGAUUAGAUACCCUGGUAGUCCACGCCCUAAACGAUGAAUACUCGCUGUUAGCGAUACACAGUUAGCGGCUAAGCGAAAGCGUUAAGUAUUCCCACCUGGGGAGUACGGUCGCAAGAUUGAAACUCAAA